rnacentral:rRNA from 2 species
GAGCGGCGGACGGGUGAGUAAUGCAUAGGAAUCUGCCCGGUAGUGGGGGAUAACCUGGGGAAACCCAGGCUAAUACCGCAUACGUCCUACGGGAGAAAGGGGGCUCCGGCUCCCGCUAUUGGAUGAGCCUAUGUCGGAUUAGCUAGUUGGUGAGGUAAUGGCUCACCAAGGCAACGAUCCGUAGCUGGUCUGAGAGGAUGAUCAGCCACAUCGGGACUGAGACACGGCCCGAACUCCUACGGGAGGCAGCAGUGGGGAAUAUUGGACAAUGGGGGCAACCCUGAUCCAGCCAUGCCGCGUGUGUGAAGAAGGCCCUCGGGUUGUAAAGCACUUUCAGCGAGGAAGAACGCCUAGGGGUUAAUACCCCCUAGGAAAGACAUCACUCGCAGAAGAAGCACCGGCUAACUCCGUGCCAGCAGCCGCGGUAAUACGGAGGGUGCAAGCGUUAAUCGGAAUUACUGGGCGUAAAGCGCGCGUAGGUGGCUUGAUAAGCCGGUUGUGAAAGCCCCGGGCUCAACCUGGGAACGGCAUCCGGAACUGUCAAGCUAGAGUGCAGGAGAGGAAGGUAGAAUUCCCGGUGUAGCGGUGAAAUGCGUAGAGAUCGGAGGAAAUCCCAGUGGGGAGGGCGCCUUUUUGGAUUGCCACUGACACUGAGGUGCAAAAAGCGUGGGUACCAAACAGGAUUAGAUCCCCUGGUAGUCCACCCCGUAAAGGAUGUCGCCCAGCCGUUGGGUGCCUAGCGCAUUUUGUGGGGAAGUUAACGCGAUAAGUCGACCCCCUGGGGAGUACGCCCCCCAAGGUUAAAACUCAAAUGAAUUGACGGGGGCCCGCACAAGCGGUGGAGCAUGUGGUUUAUUUGGAUGCAACGGGAAGACCCUUACCUACUCUUGACAUCCUGCGAACUUGUGAGAGAUCACUUGGUGCCUUCGGGAACGCAGAGACAGGUGCUGCAUGGCUGUCGUCAGCUCGUGUUGUGAAAUGUUGGGUUAAGUCCCGUAACGAGCGCAACCCUUGUCCUUAUUUGCCAGCACGUAAUGGUGGGAACUCUAAGGAGACUGCCGGUGACAAACCGGAGGAAGGUGGGGACGACGUCAAGUCAUCAUGGCCCUUACGAGUAGGGCUACACACGUGCUACAAUGGCCGGUACAAAGGGUUGCCAACUCGCGAGAGUGAGCUAAUCCCGAAAAGCCGGUCUCAGUCCGGAUCGGAGUCUGCAACUCGACUCCGUGAAGUCGGAAUCGCUAGUAAUCGUGAAUCAGAAUGUCACGGUGAAUACGUUCCCGGGCCUUGUACACACCGCCCGUCACACCCUGGGAGUGGAGUGCACCAGAAGUCGUUGCGGCUGGAUCACCUCCUUAGAGUUUGAUCCUGGCUCAGUGCGGCUGGACACCUCCUAGAGUUCCC